rnacentral:rRNA from 1 species
GGGACGCUAGUACAGGUGGUGCAUGGCUGUCGUCAGCUCGUGUCGUGAGAUGUUGGUUAAGUCCCGCAACGAGCGCAACCCUUACCCUUAGUGUUUUCCCGAAAGGAUUACCCUCUAAGGGGACUGCCCCGGACAACGGGGAGGAAGGUGGGGAUGACGUCAAGUCCGCAUGCUCCUUACGUCUAGGGCUACACACGUCCUACAAUGGGGUCGACAGUGGGAUGCAAAGCCGCGAGGUGGAGCCAAUCCCCAAACGGCCUCUCAGUUCGGAUAGUAGUCUGCAACUCGACUACUUGAAGUCGGAAUCGCUAGUAAUGGCGGAUCAGCAUGCCGCCGUGAAUACGUUCCCGGGUCUU